UACGGGGGGGAGCAAGCGUUGUUCGGAUUUUACUGGGGCGUAAAGGGCGCGUAGGCGGUCGUGACAAGUCACUUGUGAAAUCUCCGGGCUUAACUCGGAACGGUCAAGUGAUACUGUCGGACUAGAGUGCAGAAGGGGCAACUGGGAAUUCUCGGUGGUAGCGGUGAAAUGCGUAGAUAUCGAGAGGGAACACCUGCGGCGAAGGGCGGGUUGCUGGGGCUGACACUGACGCUGAGGCGCGAAAGCGUGGGGGAGCAAACGGGG
rnacentral:rRNA from 1 species